UGGGGAAUAUUGCACAAUGGGCGCAAGCCUGAUGCAGCGACGCCGCGUGGGGGAUGACGGCCUUCGGGUUGUAAACCUCUUUCACCAUCGACGAAGGUCCGGGUUUUCUCGGAUUGACGGUAGGUGGAGAAGAAGCACCGGCCAACUACGUGCCAGCAGCCGCGGUAAUACGUAGGGUGCGAGCGUUGUCCGGAAUUACUGGGCGUAAAGAGCUCGUAGGUGGUUUGUCGCGUUGUUCGUGAAAUCUCACGGCUUAACUGUGAGCGUGCGGGCGAUACGGGCAGACUAGAGUACUGCAGGGGAGACUGGAAUUCCUGGUGUAGCGGUGGAAUGCGCAGACAUCAGGAGGAACACCGGUGGCGAAGGCGGGUCUCUGGGCAGUAACUGACGCUGAGGAGCGAAAGCGUGGGGAGCGAACAGGAUUAGAUACCCUGGUAGUCCACGCCGUAAACGGUGGGUACUAGGUGUGGGUUUCCUUCCUUGGGAUCCGUGCCGUAGCUAACGCAUUAAGUACCCCGCCUGGGGAGUACGGCCGCAAGGCU
rnacentral:rRNA from 1 species